CAUGCAAGUCGAGGGCGAACGCUGGCUUCGGCCAGUAAGUAGACCGGCGCACGGGUGAGUACCACGUGAGUAACCUGCCCUGGGGCCUGGGAUAACCCCCCGAAAGGGGGGCUAAUACCGGAUGUGCUUUGUGUCGCGUAGGUGGCAUGGAGCAAAGGCUUGCCACCCUGGGAUGGGCUCGCGCCCCAUUAGGUAGUUGGUGGGGUAAGGGCCUACCAAGCCGAAGAUGGGUAGCUGGUCUGAGAGGAUGACCAGCCACACUGGGACUGAGACACGGCCCAGACUUCUACGGAAGGCAGCAGUGGGGAAUCUUGCGCAAUGGGCGAAAGCCUGACGCAGCAACGCCGCGUGGGUGAUGAAGGCCUUCGGGUCGUAAAGCCCUGUCAGGAGGGAAGAAGGAAGUGACGGUACCUCCGAAGGAAGCACCGGCUAACUCCGUGCCAGCAGCCGCGGUAAUACGGAGGGUGCAAACGUUGUUCGGAAUCAUUGGGCGUAAAGCGCACGCAGGCGGCUGCGCAGGUCGGAUGUGAAAGCCCGGGGCUCAACCCCGGAAUGGCGUUCGAAACCGCGUAGCUGGAGUAUCGGAGGGAGAGGCGGAAUUCCUGGUGUAGGGGUGAAAUCCGUAGAGAUCAGGAGGAACACCGGCGGCGAAGGCGGCCUCUUGGACGAAUACUGACGCUGAGGUGCGAAAGCGUGGGGAGCCAACAGGAUUAGAUACCCUGGUAGUCCACGCCGUAAACGAUGCUUACUAGGUGACGGAGAGGAGCCUUUUCGUUGCCGCCGCUAACGCAUUAAGUAAGCCGCCUGGGGAGUACGGCCGCAGGGUUAAAACUCAAAGGAAUUGACGGGGGCCCGCACAAGCGGUGGAGCAUGUGGUUUAAUUCGAAGCAACGCGCAGAACCUUACCUGGGUUUGACAUCCUUCGAACCCUGCAGAGAUGCGGGGGUGCCCUUCGGGGAGCGGAGUGACAGGUGCUGCAUGGCUGUCGUCAGCUCGUGUCGUGAGAUGUUAGGUUAAGUCCUGCAACGAGCGCAACCCUCGUCCUCAGUUGCCAGCGGUUCGGCCGGGAACUCCGGGGAGACUGCCGGUGUGAAACCGGAGGAAGGUGGGGAUGACGUCAAGUCCUCAUGGCCCUUACGCCCAGGGCUACACACGUGCUACAAUGGCCGGUACAAAGCGCAGCGACCUUGCGAGAGGGAGCCAAUCGCACAAAGCCGGUCUCAGUUCGGAUUGCAGUCUGCAACUCGACUGCAUGAAGUCGGAAUCGCUAGUAAUCGCGGACCAGCAUGCCGCGGUGAAUACGUUCCCGGGCCUUGUACACACCGCCCGUCACACCAUGGAAGUCUGUGGGACCAGAAGUCGCCGGCCCAACCCUCGGGAGG
rnacentral:rRNA from 1 species